rnacentral:rRNA from 1 species
AACGAACGCUGGCGGCGCGCCUAAUACAUGCAAGUCGAGCGAGAAGACGUAGCAAUACGUUUGUAAAGCGGCGAACGGGUGAGGAAUACAUGGGUAACCUACCCUCGAGUGGGGAAUAACUAGCCGAAAGGUUAGCUAAUACCGCGUACGCUCCUUGGACUUCGGUUCAGGGAGGAAAGCGAUACCGUGGGUAUCGCGCUCUUGGAUGGGCUCAUGUCCUAUCAGCUUGUUGGUGAGGAACGGCUCACCAAGGCUUCGACGGGUAGCUGGUCUGAGAGGACGAUCAGCCACACUGGCACUGCGACACGGGCCAGACUCCUACGGGAGGCAGCAGUAAGGAAUAUUGCGCAAUGGGCGAAA